CGGGUAUCCUACCUGAUCCGAGGUCAACCGUACAGAAGUUGGGCUUUUUACGGCAGGGGCCACGGCACCUCCACCAAGCGAGAAAACGUUAAGCUACUGCGCUCAGGGGUGACCGUCACUCCGCCGGUUGAUUUGAGGAGCUGCAGGGUAGCUACAGGGUAGCUAGUCGCAGGCUCCCAACGCUAGGCUGGGCCUAAGUGGUAUUAAUGACGCUCGAACAGGCAUGCCCGCCAGAAUACUGGCGGGCGCAAUGUGCGUUCAAAGAUUCGAUGAUUCACUGGAAUUCUGCAAUUCACAUUACUUAUCGCAUUUCGCUGCGUUCUUCAUCGAUGCCAGAACCAAGAGAUCCGUUGUUGAAGGUUUUGACUUAUUUUCAUAAGACGCUCAGAUGACAUAAAAAUCACAUAGUUUAGGAUUCCACCGGCGGCACUACAGGGUAGCUACAGGGUAACCACUCCGCGGUAGACCGCCGAGGCAACGAUAGGUAAGGUUCACAGAUGGUUUUACGGAGCGUUUAUACUCUGUAAUGAUCCCUCCGCAGGUUCACCCUACGGAAG
rnacentral:rRNA from 1 species